CGGCGAGUGAAGCGGCAACAGCUCAAAUUUGAAAUCUGGCGCAAGCCCGAGUUGUAAUUUGUAGAGGAUGUUUCUGGCGACGUGCCUUCCGAGUUCCCUGGAACGGGACGCCAUAGAGGGUGAGAGCCCCGUACGGUUGGAUGCCUAGCCUCUGUGAAACUCCUUCGACGAGUCGAGUAGUUUGGGAAUGCUGCUCUAAAUGGGAGGUAUACGUCUUCUAAAGCUAAAUACCGGCCAGAGACCGAUAGCGCACAAGUAGAGUGAUCGAAAGAUGAAAAGCACUUUGAAAAGAGGGUUAAAAAGUACGUGAAAUUGUUGAAAGGGAAGCGUUCAUGACCAGACUUGGGCAGGUUGAUCAUCCGUGGUUCUCCGCGGUGCACUCUGCCUGCCCAGGCCAGCAUCAGUUCGCCCCGGGGGAUAAAGACUUUGGGAAUGUGGCUCCCUCGGGAGUGUUAUAGCCCACUGUGUAAUACCCUGGGGUGGACUGAGGUUCGCGCUCUGCAAGGAUGCUGGCGUAAUGGUCAUCAACGACCCGUCUUGAAACACGGACCAAGGAGUCGUCUUCGUAUGCGAGUGUUCGGGUGUCAAACCCCUACGCGUAAUGAAAGUGAACGUAGGAGAGAGCUUCGGCGCAUCUCCGACCGAUCCUGAUGUUCUCGGAUGG
rnacentral:rRNA from 1 species